ensembl:ncRNA F52D10.13 ncRNA
GUUCACAUCAGAACAUAUACCAAGUGGGAAUUGUUGAAAGCCAAAGUCUCAUUUGCGUUAAAAUUUCAAUCGAGCUGGUCUCGGUAGCAAUAA